rnacentral:miRNA from 1 species
UUUCCGUGGGAGAGUUAGCCUUUGGUUACGCCUAUUUGUGGUAAGUUAACCAUCCCAU